rnacentral:miRNA from 1 species
CAGGACACCCAGUUUAAUUUCAAUUUCAAUUAAAUAACAAAUUAUGUUUUAGUGUAAGCAUGUCCCAGAUAUUACAUGGGACAUACUUAUGAUAAAAAAAAUUAUUCAUUGGUUAUCUGAAUUUCCAAUUUAACUAGGCAUCUGUA